AGAGCGAACGCUGGCGGCAGGCCUAAAACAUGCAAGUCGAACGGACCCUUCGGGGUUAGUGGCGGACGGGUGAGUAACACGUGGGAACGUGCCUUUUGGUUCAGAACAACUCAGGGAAACUUGAGCUAAUACUGAAUAAGCCCUACGGGGGAAAGAUCUAUCGCCAUUAGAGCGGCCCGCGUUGGAUUAGCUAGUUGGUGAGGUAAAGGCUCACCAAGGCUACGAUCCAUAGCUGGUCUGAGAGGAUGAUCAGCCACACUGGGACUGAGACACGGCCCAGACUCCUACGGGAGGCAGCAGUUAGGAAUCUUGCGCAAUGGGCGAAAGCCUGACGCAGCCAUGCCGCGUGAAUGAUGAAGGUCUUAGGAUUGUAAAAUUCUUUCAGCGGGGAAGAUAAUGACUGUACCCGCAGAAGAAGCUCCGGCUAACUUCGUGCCAGCAGCCGC
rnacentral:rRNA from 1 species